rnacentral:rRNA from 1 species
GGUGCCAGCAGCCGCGGUAAUACGUAGGGUGCAAGCGUUAAUCGGAAUUACUGGGCGUAAAGCGUGCGCAGGCGGUUUUGUAAGUCAGAUGUGAAAUCCCCGAGCUCAACUUGGGAACUGCGUUUGAAACUACAAGACUAGAAUAUGUCAGAGGGGGGUAGAAUUCCACGUGUAGCAGUGAAAUGCGUAGAGAUGUGGAGGAAUACCAAUGGCGAAGGCAGCCCCCUGGGAUAAUAUUGACGCUCAUGCACGAAAGCGUGGGGAGCGAACAGGAUUAGAUACCCUGGUAGUCCACGCCCUAAACGAUGUCAACUAGUUGUUGGUGGAGUAAAAUCCAUGAGUAACGUAGCUAACGCGUGAAGUUGACCGCCUGGGGAGUACGGUCGCAAGAUUAAAACUCAAAUGAAUUGACGGGGGCCCGCACAAGCGGUGGAUUAUGUGGAUUAAUUCGAUGCAACGCGAAAAACCUUACCUGGCCUUGACAUGUACGGAACUUUCCAGAGAUGGAUUGGUGCCUUCGGGAACCGUAACACAGGUGCUGCAUGGCUGUCGUCAGCUCGUGUCGUGAGAUGUUGGGUUAAGUCCCGCAACGAGCGCAACCCUUGCCAAUAAUUGCCAUCAUUUAGUUGGGCACUUUAUUGGGACUGCCGGUGACAAACCGGAGGAAGGUGGGGAUGACGUCAAGUCCUCAUGGCCCUUAUGGCCAGGGCUUCACACGUAAUACAAUGGUCGGUACAGAGGGUCGCCAAGCCGCGAGGUGGAGCCAAUCCCAGAAAGCCGAUCGUAGUCCGGAUUGUUCUCUGCAACUCGAGAGCAUGAAGUCGGAAUCGCUAGUAAUCGCGGAUCAGCAUGUCGCGGUGAAUACGUUCCCGGGCCUUGUACACACCGCCCGUCACACCAUGGGAGUGGGUUUUACCAGAAGUAGGUAGUCUAACCGCAAGGGGGACGCUUACCACGGUAGUAUUCAUGACUGGGGUGAAGUCGUAACAAGGUAGCCGAAUCUCUGAAGAUCCGCGCGAACCAAU